rnacentral:rRNA from 1 species
AAUAGAUACCCGGGUAGUCCACGCCGUAAACGAUGGAUGCUAGCUGUUAGAAGUAUCGACCCUUCUAGUAGCGUAGCUAACGCGUUAAGCAUCCCGCCUGUGGAGUACGGUCGCAAGACUAAAACAUAAAGGAAUUGACGGGGACCCGCACAAGCGGUGGAGCGUGUUGUUUAAUUCGAUGAUAAGCGAAGAACCUUACCCAGGCUUGACAUCCCACUAAGGACUCCGAAAGGAGACUGUGUCUUCGGACCGUGGUGACAGGUGUUGCAUGGCCGUCGUCAGCUCGUGUCGUGAGAUGUUUGGUUAAGUCCAUCAACGAGCGCAACCCUUGUAGUUAGUUGUAUUUCUCUAGCUAGACUGCCCUGGCAACAGGGAGGAAGGAGGGGAUGAUGUCAGGUCAGUAUUACCCUUACGUCUGGGGCUACAAACACGCUACAAUGGCCGGUACAAAGGGCAGCCAACCCGCGAGGGGGAGCAAAUCCCAUCAAGGCCGGUCUCAGUUCGGAUUGCAGGCUGAAACUCGCCUGCAUGAAG